AAAAAUAACAGACAUCUGCUCUUGUAAAAUUUUAUAUAAUACACAUUAUUUUAAUAUGUUAAGUUGGUAUUGCUGGUCGAGUUUAAAGUCAGCAAUUCCUGUGAUUGGAUAAGCAUUGGAGGUCUCAAAAUAUUCUAAAAGCUGAAGCCUCAAUUUUGAAAUGAUCUUCAUAGAAAUCAACUCCCAUUCUUCCUUGGAGUCUUCAGAAAUAAACAGCUGAGAUGCCACGUGUAUAGAGCUCACCCUGAGAGCAGUGCGGGGAUUUCUGCCACUGUAAAUCCAUUCAAAAAAGACAACAGCUGCCACAAUUCUGUGCUGCAAAGUGAACAACUGAAGCUGAAGGUAAUAUGAAAACCUUUUUGAGUUCAUUGGGUUUGUACUUGAGUGGGAAUAUGCAUUUUUGAUUGCAGGAACAGCAGCUAAAUUUGGAAAAU
rnacentral:lncRNA from 1 species